AGCCUUUUCCAGCUUUGCAGCUUUUCCGGCUCAUCUGAACCAGCAUCUGUUUUCAACCUCACCACAGACUCUUGGCUUGUUUCAGUCCUGGACUUUGACUAGAUCAUUCUUAAACAUUACUAUGAUUUGGUCUCAAGAUUUAUGCUGAUUCUGAAAGGCUUUCAUCCAUGAUUGAUCUGAUUUUAGAUCUACUGCCCAGCUUCUCUGCUCCUACAAAAGAAAAGCAUUCCUACAGCAUGACUCAGUCAACACCGUGUUCCACAGUAGGGAGGAUCAAUUCUGCUGUCAAGAUUCUCCCAGCUAAGCUUUGGAUCUCUGCAGCUCCUCCAGAGGUUGCAUGGACCUCUCGGCUGAUUUUCUGACCAAUGCUCUUCUUGUCCAAGCUGUCAGUUUAGGGAUUCCUUAAGCUCCUAGCUCCUUCAAAUUUUGACUCCAAAAAGUGUAAGGUAUGAAUACACUUUUUUUGGAUUGAGGAGAAUCCCUUUUACUGGUGCCUUAACAACAAGAGGAAAAGUGGAAACAUGAUGUGAAGUUGGUGGAUUUCUAAUCAGAAAAAAAGAAAACAAAUCAUCUUAGCUAAUGCACCCGUACCUUUACCCUCAGCCUUGAAAUAUCAGCCUUCUCAGUUUGUUUUUUGUAUAAUGUCACUAUUUUGACAGGUGACAGGCUGAGGAAGAUAGUUUUUAUUAUUAUUAUUAUUAUUAUUCAGAAGGAAGAGGAGCUACAGAGAUC